GGGAGAGCGAAUGAGGAGGCAGACAGUUCUGCAUCAGUGGAUCUGGAGGGUGGACUGUACUAUACCAUUUCAGAACCUUCAAAAUGCUGUAGUGGGGCUUCCCUGGUGGCGCAGUGGUUAAGAAUCCGCCUGCCAAUGCAGGGGACACGGGUGCGAGCCGUGGCCUGGGAAGAUCCCACAUGCUGCGUAGCAACUAAGCCCCUGCGCCACAACUACUGAGCCUGCGCUCUAGAGCCCGCGAGCCACAACUACUGAGCCCACGUGCCACAACUACUGAAACCCGCGUGCCUAGAGACCGUGCUCCGCAACAAGAGAAGCCAUGACAAUGAGAAGCCCGUGCACUGCAACGAAGAGUAGACCCCACUCACCGCAACUAGAGAAAGCCCGCGCGCAGCAGUGAAGACCCAACAC